UCCAGUUGUUGGGAACACUCCAUGGUACACAGAUGGUGGGAUAGUCUUGCCUUGGACUCUUGCAAAUGUGUACUAUGUCCCAGUGAGUUUUUUUUUUUUUUUUUUGACAUGAAUCCCAAGUUUAUUUAGGCAUUUCAGGGACUUAUUGUGGGUGAUGGAGAUCUCCACAGCACUCUUCUCUUGGUUGGUGGGUAGCUGUUGAAAAAUUCAUAUAAAUAGAGAUGUCAGAUGUAGGUAAAAUAGAGAAAUGUUGAUUUGAUUGUGAACUAAAUCCCACAACUUAUAUUAUCUUUGAUAAGAAAGGUUUCGUUUAGACCAUGAAAAUUGGAUAAAUGAAGCUGAGCAUUAUUUUACUGAAACAAGAAGGCACACAAAGUGAAGGAGAUCGCAUACUUGACUUUAGUUUGUUGUUCCUUUGAUGGGGAACUUGUAUCAUUGUUAAAAGCUUAAAACCUGUAAAAUAGCAUGGAUCCAUCUGAAUCUUUAUUCAGUCAAAAGUUUAUAUGAUGUGUAGACUAUUCAAGCUUGCCAGCCUGGAGCCUGGAGCCUGCUUGUUGUAGAGUUGUCCUAUGUUCUGUAGAUUUGCUUGAUAUUAUAAACAAUUAUGAUAAAAUUUUUGUAAACAAUUUUGUUCUUUAUUUCUUUCAGUAUCAGAUUCAGUAUUUUCUCCAUCUUAUGGCAGCAUAUAUUUUCAACACAGAGUGAGGGCAGUGUCAUUCCUCCUGUCCACUACCCCAACUUCUACUCCCAACACUACCACAACAAUGAGCGGUCUGGUGUGGUGGCUGAGGAUUCUUUUGAAGAGGACAAUGCUUCUGCUUCAUCUGAGCAGUCAAAGUGUCUGGCUAAGAGUUGGAGAUCUGGCAGAGAAGCUGUGGCCAGAGGAAGGAGGCUUGGCUGCUGCACCAGACCCAUAGACCACAUCUUUGGAGUGGCUUUGGCCUUGAGGUGCAGCCAGGUAGCUGUAGCUCACCACCUGCCAGAGAAAAGCUUUUUUAACCUCACUGCCUGCCAGGGAAGAGCUUUUUUAAUUUCCAUUUUAAUCUUACAUGAUUAAGGUCAUAUGAUUAAUAGUUAUACCAUCUUCUGUAUAUCUAGCCUGGAGGUUGAGAUGUGAUGGAAUGAUUCCAAAUGUGAAUGUAUACCAUAUUAAAUCCUUGUCUCUACUUUCCUCCAAAUGAGAUCCAUGGGCCUUGUAAAAAAAAGUUGGGAGUCCAAUCUUUUAAAACUAGUAACUCUAAUAUUAGAGAUUUGAGAGACAGAAUGAAGCAUAAUUAAAGCUUUGAUAAGCAUUUAUAAAUCUG